rnacentral:rRNA from 1 species
GUUAAAAAGCUCGUAGUCGGAUUUCAGUUUGAUGUUUGUUUUUCUAUUGAAGGCCAAAUGUCAAUCUUCUUUGAUACGACCCUUCGUGCCCUUGAUUGUGGCGUGUCUGGCUAGUAUCUCUUUUACUUUGAGAAAAUUAGAGUGUUCAAAGCAGGUUCUCGCCUGAAUAUUACUCUUGGAAUAAUACUAUAGGACUCUGGUUCUAAUUUGUUGGUGACUUGGGACCGGAGUAAUGAUUGAUAGGGACGGUUGGGGUGAUUCAUACUGCAAAGCGAGAGGUGAAAUUCUUGGACCUUUGUAUGAUGAACAACUGCGAAAGCAUUUCACUAGGACGUUCCCGUUGAUCAAGAACGAAAGUUGGGGGAUCGAAGACGAUCAGAUACCGUCGUAGUCUCAACCAUAAACUAUACCAGCUAGGGAUGGGAAGGUGUUUACAAACGACCCUUUCCGCACCUUAUGAGAAGUCAAAGCAUUUGGGUUCCGGGGGGAGUAUGGUCGCAAGGCUGAAACUUAAAGGAAUUGACGGGAGGGCACCACCAGGAGUGGAGCCUGUGGCUUAAUUUGACUCAACACGGGAAAACUUACCAGGUCCGGACAUAGGAAGGAUUGAC